rnacentral:lncRNA from 1 species
ACAGUGCAAAUAAGUCAUUUAAGGCAAGGAAUUGAUUUUGGUUCUUGAGCUUACUCGAAUAAGCUUCUUUAAGGAAUAAUAACUUCACAUCUUGCAACAAGGCUNNNNNNNNNNNNNNNNNAAGAAAAUCAUUAAAGAAGUUAAUCUAGACCAAUGAGAACUCAGCAACAAGUACAUACAGCUUGCAAGGAAGUUUCAUAUCUGAUCCAAAGUACAAGCUUAUGACAUGGGUGGCUACACUCUCCCAUAAAAUAGUAUUUAUCUCACUAUUCAUGUGUCCUUUGAAGGACAAGUGAACAGUGGCUACUCUAUGCCUUUAAUGAAGAGUUUACAGCUGGUUGACAACUUGCAACAACUUGCAACAGCUAUAUUUUCGUUGGACCUUAUCCACACCAUCUCAGAGAAUGGUCUCCAACGUCCUGGAGAAUGAUCUCCCAGUUUCUGCACUUAGGUGGCAAUCUUAUCCAAAUGAAUUCAAAUCUUAUUUUCCCACAUGGGAAAUACAUUUGCAACAGAUAUACACUCAGAGACAACUCAUUGACAGUUGGUGGAAGAAUA